GCCUUGGCCUCCCAAAGUGCUAGGAUUACAGGCGUGAGCCACCAUGCUGGGCCAGAGUAUAGCCUUUCCGGUUCUUUUUUCAUUCCUGUUCAUUUUCAUGUUGCUGCUGAUGCCCUCUCUGAUUUGAGGUCUUCUUUGUCUCAGCAAAAGACGAGUCCCCAAAUUUAAUGCACUGGGGUUGCUAGCUUCGACUCCACUUUUUGUCUCUAGCUGCCCUCAGAGAUUUUUCUUCCUACAGGCAGUCAGGAUGCUUUCUAGGGAGUGAGGCAAGAACAGCAUUCCUGCAAAGGACACCAAAAUGGUAGAGAAGCUAGCUGCCUGCCUGGAUCUCACAUUUUACAGAGGAAACCGUGAGUCCAGGGGGAAUUUUCUACAUGGUGCCUAGCAGCUUUGAGUUGGGGAAUCACAGAGACAGAAGUCUAUUAAUCUUUCCAGCUGCUCAUAUGUAUUCACUUUCUUGUGGACCCACAGAUCGUCAUAGUCUCAAUUUUCAGUUCUGCAAUAUUGCUUGUGACAAUCUUGGCACUAGACAGCUAUUUUUAGUUUUCUUUGGGGUAAAGUCAGAUUGCUUCCACUCUACCAUUUUGGUGAUGUCACUCUCCCUUGGCCUAUUUUUUAAAAAUUGGGUUGUCUUUUGUUGUUUUUAAGAGUCCUUUAUAUGUAUUGGAUAUUAGCAGUUUUUAGAUAAUUGAUUUGGAAAUAUUUCCUCCCACUCCGUAAGUUGGCUUUUCAAGUUCUGAAUUGUGCACUUUGAUGCAAAAUUUUUUAAUUCCAGGGAAGUCCAAUUUAUUUUUUCUUUUGUUAUUGGUGCUUUUGGCGGUAUAGCUAAAAAAUCAUUGCCAAAUCUAAAGUUUUGAAGACUUAUUCCUAUAGUUUCCCUGAAGGUUUUAUAGCUUUAGCUCUUACCUUUAGACAUUUGAUACAUUUCAAGUUAAUUUUUGCACAUGAUGUGAGGUAGAGGUCUAACUUCAUCCUUUUGCAUGUGGAUAACCAGUUGUCUAAGCACUAUUUCUUAAGGAGUCUAUUCACGUCUCAUUAAAUGAACUUGAUAACUUUGUGAAAAGUCAAUUGACCACAAUGUCUGGGUUUAUUUUCAGACUCUUCAUCUCUUCCAUUAAUCACUGUGUGUAUUCUUAUUUGAUCAUCAGCCUGCUUUGAUUACUCUAGAUUUUCUAGUAAAUUUUGAAAUCUAGAAGUGUGUCUUCCACCUUGGUUUUUCUUACUCAAAGUUUGGUUACUCAGAUCUCUUGCAAUUUAAUAGGAUCUUUAGAAUUUGCUCUUUCUUUUUCCCAAAAAUAAAUGCUCAUGGGAAUAAUAAUUAGGAUUACAUUAAAUCUGUAGAUCUCUAUGGCUAGUAUUGCCAUAUUAUAAAUAUUUAGUCUUCUAACUCAUUACCCACAGGAUGUCCUUUUUAAAAAUCCAGGUAAUCUUUAAGUUCUUCUCCAAUAUUUUGUGAUUUUUCAAUGUACAAGUCUUUCAUCUGUUUAGUGAAAUAUUCUCCUUAAAAUAUGAUUUAUUUUGAUGCUAUUAUAAAUGGAAUUGCUUUCUUAAUUCAAUUUUCAGAUUGUUCAUUGCUAGUGUACACAACUAUAACUGAUUUUUACGAUUUAAUGUUCUAUCCUGUGGGGCUUGCUGAAUAUUGUUCAUUAGCUCUAAUAUGGUUUUUCUGCAGUUUAAAGCAUUUUUAUAAUAUCAUCAUCUUUAUGAAGAGAGAUAAUUUCCAUUUUUUUUUUCUUUUUUUUCUUUUCAACUUGGAUGCCUUUUAUAUAUCUUCAUUGUCUGAUGACCCUGACUAGAAUUUUAAGUGUACAAGAAAAGGGCAAAAGUGUGCAUUCUUGCCUUGUUCAUGAUCUUGGGAGGAAAGCUUUCAGUCUUUCACUCUUGAGUAUAAUACUACCUGUAGAUUUUUUAUAAAUGCCCCAUAUAUCGUGUUGAGAAAAUGAUCUUCUAAUGAUAGAUUCUUGAUUGUUUUGAGUUGCCUUUCCAGAGAGAGGGACUACAGAAGUUCCCUAAUGCAUACUUUUCAUUGAUGUCACUUUCGCCACCUGUUUUUGAAUUCGUAGAAACAAUCAUGCUUCUUGAAAACAUACCUGCCACAAUAGUCAUACAUGAUAACGUGAAGUGAGAUCACGGGUAAUGCCAUCUCCAACAAAUACUAUUAAAAUGUAGAUUGAUUUUCAGUCCCUUUCACUGUUUUUGGUUUAUGUGUUUAUGUACAACAGUCCACUAGAAGAAGAUGUAACUCUUCCUUGAUUAGCUCAGUGGUUCAAUUUCUCUUUAUGCCCUUCUAGUCUUCAGACAAUUGGGUGCCCUUGAGACCCUCAGAAAACUUACUUGCUCCUGCUACAUCCCACCUGGAAUUGGUCUGUCCUUGGUGUUCUCACAUUGCUGCAACAAAUGACUCAUGCCUCACAGCAGAGUGACACUGCCUGAAAGCCUGCUAACUCUUGCUCCAAGGGAGAAACAUAACGCACCCAUCCAUUCCCCACGUAGGCACCGUGUAAAGUCUCAGGAAAUACUUGAAGUAUAUGUAACACAUGGGAAUGUUGUUAUUUUGGUGUUAAAUGAUGCGACCAUGAGAUAUAACUCUGUGUAACCUCGACAGGAAUUGAACAUAUGCAUUAUGAGUAUCAUUCCAUGUGGAGUAUAUGUGGCGGGCAGCAAUGACAACUAUCGGAUCCCUCCUCUAUGGCUGAUGCCAAAUUACUGCCUAUAGUGCAACACAUGAGGCUAGAACAUGAAGAACUCCCUGGUUGUCUGGGCGGGGAGCCAGAUCAAAGAACACCAGAAUUUGUAAAUUGCUUGCCAGAGAAGAUCUCCAAGUUUCAAGUAAUUUUCUCCUUGUGCCUUCAUCCCCUGAAAAAGAUAAUUUUAUACCAUGAAGUGUACUGGCCCCUUAACUCUGUGAAAUAAAUCGCACCCUCAAAGUCUUGGACAGGAGGAUAUUUAAUUUCUGAAAGCACAAGAUUCUUAAUGAAGGCGGGCCUUGUUUGAUUUCAAGUGGAAAACAAAAGCAAAAGUGCAGCGGUAAGACCAGCUGGCCCCAAACUGGGCUAAAUGCAAGGCAGCCAUGUUUGGUGGCGCCUUUGUGGAUGCGUGGCGUUUUUUCAUACAGGAAGGGCGGGAGUAGAGGGCGCCAAGACCAGACUACUUAGCAUAUUUGGAGCACUACUGCCAUCGUGAGGAUGUCGUUUAACGAAACCCUACGCCAUUACAGAGUUCUAGUGUGGGCUACCUGUUGGGACAGGUCUGGUCUGGUAAGAGGUGGAAGAGGCUUGGCCUCUAUGCUGGGAGGCCUCGCCUACUCCUCUAAGGCUUUAAAAAAGACCUGGACAUUGGCGGUAUCUUGCUAUAGAACCUGGAGUGUGAAGGUUCUAAUAGCAAAUCCUGUAAACUUCCCUUGGAAUAACCCUGUUAAUUGUGCGCAACACUCAUGCUACCAGAGACCCAAAGAUCCAUAGCAAGAUGACAGCUCGUGGAAAACUUCUGACUCUUGCUCCAAGGGGCAGGAACAGCAAAGAGAUGCCCAUAAGAGCCUACAUGUGUCUUUGAGAGGGUUUCUGCUGUCCUGCCCACACCAGGAGGAACUGAGGCCCCGACCCACGACUUCCUGUACCAGGACCUCCUGGCAGCUGCUGCUUCACUCCAAGCCCCUCAAUCUCCAGGUUCUACACCAAGAUACCGCCAAAUUCCAGUUCUCUCUUCAGGCCUUAGAGGAGAAGGCAACAAGACCUAGUCUGGAGCCCAAUCCUCUUCCACCUCCUCACAGACCAGACUUUCCCCCACAGCGAGGCUUCCCGGGAAGGACGCUGUAAUAGCCUAUUCUGUCUUUAAACGAUUUCCUCACGGUGGCAGUAGUGCUUCAGAUUUUCAAGGACGCCCUGUCUUGGAGCAGUCUUCUCCCGCCCUUCCUGUCUGAAAAAACGCCACCCAGAGACAAAUGCGCCAGGAGACAUGGCUGCCUUGCAUUUUGCACAGUUUGGGGCAACCUGUGCAAAUUCCUGUACUUUUGCUUUUCUUUUCCAUGUGAAAUCAAGUCAAAGCCUAAACGACCCAUCCUCAUCAGGAAUCUUGUUCUUUCAAGAAAUUAAAUGUUUUCCAGACUUAGUCUAUGUGGGUUGGCUCAGUACUUUCACAUGGUAUCAAAAUGUCUGUCUCAGGCCGGAAAUUAGACCGAUCAGAGAAGAAAAGCGAUAAUAAAUGGUCAGAAGCCUGGAGAUCAUCAUGAGCCACCAAUUCACAAGUCUAGGUGAUCUUUGACCUAUUCCCCUCCCCAGACAACCAGGGAGUCCUCCUCCAUUUUCUCAGUUUAUGUGAUGAAUUGUCAGAAAGUGUUUGGUAGAAGUAGGAAGAGAAGGCCAAGACAGCGCACAUCAUUGUAUGUAAUACAUUGUUCCACAGGGCAUGAUACAUAUACUUACAUCUGUAUAAACUCCCAUUAGAAGUUACACAGUUUUGGGGCAGAUGCAGU
rnacentral:lncRNA from 1 species